CCUGUGUCGGUUUUCUCCGGGAUCUCCGUUUUCCUCCCACACUCCAAAGACGUACAGGUUUGUAGGUGAAUUGGCUUGGACAUUGAAAAUGAAUGAAUGAAUGAUAGUUUAUUUUGACUGUGGCUAAAACUGAGCCCUCAAAUGUGUUUCUAGAAAUUGUAUCAGGAUGAGAUGAAAAAUACUCAGUUUUAGAUCCUGUGAUCUUCCCCCUCUCAAGCCUUCAGGUCGAGUUUGCUGCUUAUUUUCACCUCAGACAGUCUUGAUGCUUAUUUACUUUGAGCACGAGUGAUUGGGAGAAAAGCUCUAUGCUGCCGUUUGCCUUUUCUAGCUGAGGCCGUUGAUGUCCAUUUGUGUCCGCUCUACAGAUGACUUGGUUGGGAGUAGUUAGCUCAGCCCACUUCACAAAGUGGCUCUGAUACUUUCUGCUUGCUGCAGUUAAGCAUACACAGAGCUAUGUCUGCGGUAUUUCGUAGACGGCAUCAGGGUUUGAUCCCAGCAGAGGGAGAAUCGUUUGUAUCUUUGUACCGCCCGUUGUGGAACUAAACCUGAAUCUGGUUCAAGGGGAUUGGGACUUUAGUGGUCAUCUCGUGGUUCUUGGCACUGGAGUAUUGACUUUUUAACAGGGUUUUAAUUUCAAAGAAAAGUGGAAAUUAUUUUACUGUAAGUAACUAUCAGAAAUGUGUUGCUUGCUGUGUGUGAUGUGCGGACUAUUAGUGACUGGUAAAAAAACACUUCCAAAACUAGUGAAUAAAAGUUGAAACGUUAUCAAUCAAA